rnacentral:sRNA from 1 species
AAAUAGCCGGGAUUGGAGCGACAUCCUUUUGGGCGAAGCAAAAAAGAUACAGCGAAAAGCCCGACCACCU